rnacentral:lncRNA from 1 species
AUUAGUCUACAUACAUAUACACACAUAUACAUUCCAAGAAAAAAGAAGACUUACCAAUCCUCAUGGCGAUGGGCUCCAAGAAGAUUCAGGUCUUCGCCGCGGUUGCGCUGCUGAUGGCUCUCCUCUCCGCGGUUGCGUCGGUGGCCAGCAGCGGCAGUUUCCAGCCGGAGCCAGAAGCUAAAUCUCGAUGCAAAAGAGUUGGAGCUUGUUCGGCUACCUUGUGCACGUCACUCUGCGACAAGCAUUCUUCAGGGUCCUGCGUUAUCAGGGGCCAGUUCGUCUACUGCUGUUGUGACCCAGUACAGAUCGCCAACGGCCCCGAUGCCCAUCGUCGUCCGCUUCUUCACUGAUCCGUCCGUUGCCGUUUUAAUUUGUUGCUUUACUUGACGCGUAUGGUUGAGGUAUUGAUUCUUUUAUACAUGCAUUUGAUGUAUGCAUGUGAAAGAAACUAGAUAAAUAACGACCUGCGUGCCUAGAUGAGUUGCUGAGUGGUGGCAUCUCCCAUGCAUUUUUGUAAUAAGACGUGAAUUGGAGUAUCGUGUGUUUUCGUACGUUUAACCGGUGUGAUUUGAAGUUGUUGAUUUUAUUUUGAAUAAGGCAAGUUAUGGCUUCCGGUUUUUUUACUGCGUUGGAUCUGCAUGUUGGAUAUCCUGAUUAUCCACUUGCUUGUUAAGCCUUCGGAUGAAAGCAAAGGAGAGAAGCUUACUCAUGUGAAUCUGAUACUUGGGACUUGGCUUCUUCAAUAGACAGCAGCCACUAAAAACAAAUAGAUAAGAGCUAAUAAACUGAAAAACAGUAUCUAAACAACAAACACAGUUUUUUUGCCUUAAGGGCACAUGUCCUCGCAAUGUAGACCACAUAAUUUGCUCUAAGAUUCGUGCCCAUCAGGAGAGAGACAAUAGAAAAUUAUCUCUCUCCUGUUGGGCAUGAAUCUCAGAGCAAAUCCUAUGGUCCACAUUGUGAGGGCAUGUGCCUUUAAGGGUAAAUUUUACUUUACCUCUAAACAACUCCUAAUGAACAACAUUAGAAGGGAUUAUUAAAAAUUGAACCACCUUAUGAGAACUAAGUACUAAUGUAACAUUUGUCAGGAUAACUACUAAGUACUGAUGUACUCCCUCUAUCCCAAAUUGUAAGUCAUUUCAAGAAUUUUGGAGAGUCAAAUUUUUCUAAGUUUGACCAAACUUAUAUGAUAAAAUAAUUAUUAUUAUGAUACCAACUAAGUAUCAUUAGAUUCUUCCUUAAUUAUAUUUUCAUAGUAUACUCACUUUACGUUACAAAUUUUAGUAUUUCUCUCUAUAAUUUUGGUCAAACGUGAAAAUGCUUUGACUCUCCAAGAUUCUUGGAAUGACUUACAAUUUGGGAUGGAGGGAGUAACAAUUGUCAGGUUCUGUCAUUCAGAGCAUAAUACAAGCAACUAGCAACCAGCAAUCAAACAUUCAAAAGAAAUUGCAAGUUUACAUCACUGUCUCCAUGUCUAGCCUUACAGGUCCCCAGGUUCAGAAAUAAUUCAGGGCACUAGCAGUCUAGCACAUGACAAUUAAGUGUUACAGGUUCAGAAAUCAGAACAUUCAGGGCACUAGCAGUGUAGCACACAACACAUUGCUCAGCAUGGUCAAAUAACUGUCUGGCAUCUAGACAUUAUUAAGCGCUUAAUCAAAUGAUGGGAAAUUAAAAUGUGCAUAAAAAUGGUCUAAUAACAAGAGGAUAGUCCAUGAUGCCUUGCUGUAUUGCUGCUUGUCAACUUGCGGUGGACAUAUCCGCGCGUGAGCACCAAAGGCCUCUAGCCUGAGUGGCUAAUUAAGGACAACCUGUGGCACUCCUUAGGUCCUAGGUUCAAUCCCCUCCGGGGCUAGGUUCACGAAUUUUCACGAUCUGAUGAGAAGAUAUUUUCUUCUUAAUGAACAACCGGUGGGGACGUCUAUGGGUGGGGUUGGAGUUCGGAAAUUUUCAUAAUCACAUUAAAUAUUUAGACACAUACAUGGAACAUUAAAUAUAGAUUAUAAAAUAAUUAAUUAUAUAGUUACAUGUAUUUUGUGAGACGAAUCUGUUAAACAUGUUACAAAUGUACUAUAGUACCAAAAAAAUGUUCUUUUCGUGAACUUAUUAAACAAGGCCCAGGGCGGGCCAAGUGAGGGAGUGAGCGAGGCCUUUCCACCGCCGAACGUUUUUAUUUGUCACUUCGUAAAGCCCAAGUUCUAUGGUCAUGCUCAGCCCACAGAUUUGUUGGCCCAAUUCACUAUUUAUCUAUCCCCCUCGUAACCACUGCUAAUCCUGAAACCUAUAGGUGUCUGCAAGGAAUUGGCGUGCAGUAGUUUUUGCAUGUACCCCCUCCGUCUCAGAAGAAUGCAAUAAGUCUCACUCUUCAAGCUUAGGUUAAUGUAGAUGUAAAAUUACGUAUUUACCUCUAUAAAACUAGAAAAUAAAAAACAAUAAUUGUAUUCCAGAAUGUUCUUCCCAUACAUGGAUAGAGUGUUGUAGUUUUUAGACAUGUAUUGUUAUUUUUAAUAGAAGGGUCCCACUAAUAAAGUUGUUUUCAAGUCUAUAUUUACUUUCUUUUUUAUACAAGAUUUGAAAGGCAACAUUAAAUUAUUUUUGAGACAAAGGGAGUACCUAAGACCUAGCCCGCUAGAGGGAGCCUAGGAUGUACUCUCUACAUUCCUAAGGUAAGUCUCAAUGGGUUUUAUUAGAGUUUUAUUGCGAACACAAGGUUGAUAUGUGUCCUUGUGGUUCGAUUUGUGAUGAGUGAUUGUCAACAUGAUCCACAAUCUUGGUUGAGUUGGUUACUAAUCGUUGGCGUGAGUUGGGUGGUGGGACAUGUCUCUUGGCUUGUGAUGUGUAGAUGUGCAGCUCGGAGGCGGUGGUCAACGACGAGGUGAAGGCCAAGUAGAGAUGUGUCGUGCCGAUGAACCUAGAGCGGUGAAGGGCGGAUGUGAGGCUUGGACUGACGGACUAGGAGGUCGGGUGAUUAGCCGUGGUGGCUGACACCUGGAACAUUGAUAAGCGCAAGUGUACAUGGGAGUCACCAUGUUGACCGAGACAAUACGAUGGACGUGCAAGUUGAGUGAGGCUCAGGAAAGACUUGGAGGGCCGGCAGUGGAGGACGUUAAUUGGUGACACGUGUCCAGCAGCGGGGAUGCGUAUGGAGUACGCUACUCAUGACGGGUUUUGCGGGUUUGGCCCUCAAAACCCGAGCAAAGGUUCUGAGGAGGAACAUAUGGCACAUGGCAGCAUCGAGGAGUUGGCGUCGAGGCUAAGCUACCUCAUGAAGGGCACCGUGCCGUUGGAUGAAAAUUAUGUCGGGUUGGACUAGAACGCCCCCGUGGCUAGCUUGUUGCUCUAAAAUAUCUAAAGGCAAAUGAGGAAUGUGUAAUAUGUCUAUAAAUAAGGAGAGAGUCUCCAAUCUUCCUCACCUCUCCCUCACCCUCUCAUUUCCGCUAAAUCCUAGGAUUAGGUCUUCUAGUUCAUGAGAGAGGUCAAAAAUUUUCUAAAUUUUUAGCAGUGUUUGUACUGAGAUUUGGAGUGGGUAUGGAGGCCCAAAUUCUCCAUGUGCCCUUUGGGAUUCUGAAAUUGAAGUUAUGAUUUUCGUUAACUGUGUUCUGGAUUCACAAACAGCUAUUGCUUCGAAAUAGUAUAAAAGUUUGUGGUGACAGGCAUACGUAACAACUCAUAUUUUAUUGAGUUUUAAAAUUGAACAUCAAAAUAUGCCUCAUAAGGAUGGACAAAAAGAGUAGCCAAUAACUGCACCUAUUGAAGACAUGACAUAUUAGCACCCAUAACAAAUACUUUCUGAAAUUCAAUAUACUCUAUCAAGAUCCUUGAAGAAAAUAUAUCAAGCAAUAACAGUACACAAAUAAAGGAACACACAUAACAGUAUGAAUUGAUUUUCCAAGAUCCUUUGCCUGUGGCUCCGGCCUAUAUAAACAUGCGCCCACAGAACGAUCGAACAAACAUCAAGAAACCAUUAGUCUACAUACAUAUACACACAUAUACAUUCCAAGAAAAAAGAAGGCUUACCAAACCUCAUGGCGAUGGGCUCCAAGAAGAUUCAGGUCUUCGCCGCGGUUGCGCUGCUGAUGGCUCUCCUCUCCGCGGUUGCGUCGGUGGCCAGCAGCGGCAGUUUCCAGCCGGAGCCAGAAGCUAAAUCUCGAUGCAAAAGAGUUGGAGCUUGUUCGGCUACCUUGUGCACGUCACUCUGCGACAAGCAUUCUUCAGGGUCCUGCGUUAUCAGGGGCCAGUUCGUCUACUGCUGUUGUGACCCAGUACAGAUCGCCAACGGCCCCGAUGCCCAUCGUCGUCCGCUUCUUCAGUGAUCCGUCUGUUGCCAUUUUAAUUUAUUGCUUUACUUGACACGUACGGUUGAGUAUUGAUUCUUUUACGCAUGCAUUUGAUGUAUGCAUGUGAAAGAAACUAGAUAAAUAACGACCUGCGUGCCCAGAUGAGUUGCUGAGUGGUGGCAUCUCCCAUGCAUUUUUGUAAUACAAGUCGUGAAUUGGAGUAUUGUGUGUUUUCAUAUGUUUUUGAACCGGUACGAUUUGUAGUUCUUGAUUUUAUUUUGAACAAGGCAAGUUAUUCAGUUUGGUUUGAGAAGUUUCUUAGGUGACCUAACCUAUGGCUUCCGGUUUUUUUACUGCG